rnacentral:tRNA from 1 species
GGGGUGGCAGAGUGGUUGAAUGCACCGGUCUUGAAAACCGGCAGGGAUUCACGUCCCUCGUGGGUUCAACAAGGCGGCGCAGCCGCCGCAGGACGUCGCCGCGAGCGGCGACGCCCGAAGGGUGAGGGCGCGAGCCCGAAUCAAUCCCACCCCC